CAUAAUCCUUGUAGUACUGGAUUAGACUUGGAGACAUCAGGAUUAGCAUGGCCCCUGUGCAAGGAUGACACGCAAAUUCGUGAAGCGCUCCAUAUUUUU
rnacentral:snRNA from 1 species